GGUUAAGCGACUAAGCGUACACGGUGGAUGCCCUGGCAGUCAGAGGCGAUGAAGGACGUGCUAAUCUGCGAAAAGCGUCGGUAAGGUGAUAUGAACCGUUAUAACCGGCGAUGUCCGAAUGGGGAAACCCAGUGUGAUUCGUCACACUAUCGUUAACUGAAUACAUAGGUUAACGAGGCGAACCGGGGGAACUGAAACAUCUAAGUACCCCGAGGAAAAGAAAUCAACCGAGAUUCCCCCAGUAGCGGCGAGCGAACGGGGAGCAGCCCAGAGUCUGAAUCAGCUUGUGUGUUAGUGGAACGGUCUGGAAAGUCCGACGGUACAGGGUGAUAGUCCCGUACACCAAAAUGCACAGGCUGUGAACUCGAAGAGUAGGGCGGGACACGUGGUAUCCUGUCUGAAUAUGGGGGGACCAUCCUCCAAGGCUAAAUACUCCUGACUGACCGAUAGUGAACCAGUACCGUGAGGGAAAGGCGAAAAGAACCCCGGCGAGGGGAGUGAAAAAGAACCUGAAACCGUGUACGUACAAGCAGUGGGAGCACCUUCGGGUGUGACUGCGUACCUUUUGUAUAAUGGGUCAGCGACUUAUAUUCUGUAGCAAGGUUAACCGUAUAGGGGAGCCGCAGGGAAACCGAGUCUUAACUGGGCGUUAAGUUGCAGGGUAUAGACCCGAAACCCGGUGAUCUAGCCAUGGGCAGGUUGAAGGUUGGGUAACACUAACUGGAGGACCGAACCGACUAAUGUUGAAAAAUUAGCGGAUGACUUGUGGCUGGGGGUGAAAGGCCAAUCAAACCGGGAGAUAGCUGGUUCUCCCCGAAAGCUAUUUAGGUAGCGCCUCGUGAAUUCAUCUUCGGGGGUAGAGCACUGUUUCGGCUAGGGGGUCAUCCCGACUUACCAACCCGAUGCAAACUACGAAUACCGAAGAAUGUUAUCACGGGAGACACACGGCGGGUGCUAACGUCCGUCGUGAAGAGGGAAACAACCCAGACCGCCAGCUAAGGUCCCAAAGUCAUGGUUAAGUGGGAAACGAUGUGGGAAGGCACAGACAGCCAGGAUGUUGGCUUAGAAGCAGCCAUCAUUUAAAGAAAGCGUAAUAGCUCACUGGUCGAGUCGGCCUGCGCGGAAGAUGUAACGGGGCUAAACCAUGCACCGAAGCUGCGGCAGCGACACUAUGUGUUGUUGGGUAGGGGAGCGUUCUGUAAGCCUGCGAAGGUGUGCUGUGAGGCAUGCUGGAGGUAUCAGAAGUGCGAAUGCUGACAUAAGUAACGAUAAAGCGGGUGAAAAGCCCGCUCGCCGGAAGACCAAGGGUUCCUGUCCAACGUUAAUCGGGGCAGGGUGAGUCGACCCCUAAGGCGAGGCCGAAAGGCGUAGUCGAUGGGAAACAGGUUAAUAUUCCUGUACUUGGUGUUACUGCGAAGGGGGGACGGAGAAGGCUAUGUUAGCCGGGCGACGGUUGUCCCGGUUUAAGCAUGUAGGCUGAUUGUCCAGGCAAAUCCGGAUAAUCAAGGCUGAGGUGUGAUGACGAGGCACUACGGUGCUGAAGUAACAAAUGCCCUGCUUCCAGGAAAAGCCUCUAAGCAUCAGGUAACAUCAAAUCGUACCCCAAACCGACACAGGUGGUCAGGUAGAGAAUACCAAGGCGCUUGAGAGAACUCGGGUGAAGGAACUAGGCAAAAUGGUGCCGUAACUUCGGGAGAAGGCACGCUGGUGUGUAGGUGAAGCCCCUGCGGGUGGAGCUGAGACCAGUCGAAGAUACCAGCUGGCUGCAACUGUUUAUUAAAAACACAGCACUGUGCAAACACGAAAGUGGACGUAUACGGUGUGACGCCUGCCCGGUGCCGGAAGGUUAAUUGAUGGGGUUAUCCGUAAGGAGAAGCUCUUGAUCGAAGCCCCGGUAAACGGCGGCCGUAACUAUAACGGUCCUAAGGUAGCGAAAUUCCUUGUCGGGUAAGUUCCGACCUGCACGAAUGGCGUAAUGAUGGCCAGGCUGUCUCCACCCGAGACUCAGUGAAAUUGAACUCGCUGUGAAGAUGCAGUGUACCCGCGGCAAGACGGAAAGACCCCGUGAACCUUUACUAUAGCUUGACACUGAACAUUGAGCCUUGAUGUGUAGGAUAGGUGGGAGGCUUUGAAGCGUGGACGCCAGUCUGCGUGGAGCCAACCUUGAAAUACCACCCUUUAAUGUUUGAUGUUCUAACGUUGGCCCCUUACCGGGGUUGCGGACAGUGUCUGGUGGGUAGUUUGACUGGGGCGGUCUCCUCCCAAAGCGUAACGGAGGAGCACGAAGGUUAGCUAAUCCUGGUCGGACAUCAGGAGGUUAGUGCAAUGGCAUAAGCUAGCUUGACUGCGAGCGUGACGGCGCGAGCAGGUGCGAAAGCAGGUCAUAGUGAUCCGGUGGUUCUGAAUGGAAGGGCCAUCGCUCAACGGAUAAAAGGUACUCCGGGGAUAACAGGCUGAUACCGCCCAAGAGUUCAUAUCGACGGCGGUGUUUGGCACCUCGAUGUCGGCUCAUCACAUCCUGGGGCUGAAGUAGGUCCCAAGGGUAUGGCUGUUCGCCAUUUAAAGUGGUACGCGAGCUGGGUUUAGAACGUCGUGAGACAGUUCGGUCCCUAUCUGCCGUGGGCGCUGGAGAAUUGAGGGGGCUGCUCCUAGUACGAGAGGACCGGAGUGGACGCAUCACUGGUGUUCGGGUUGUCAUGCCAAUGGCACUGCCCGGUAGCUAAAUGCGGAAGAGAUAAGUGCUGAAAGCAUCUAAGCACGAAACUUGCCCCGAGAUGAGUUCUCCCUGAGACUUUAAGUCUCCUGAAGGAACGUUAAAGACGAUGACGUUGAUAGGCCGGGUGUGUAAGCGCAGCGAUGCGUUGAGCUAACCGGUACUAAUGAACCGUGAGGCUUAACCUU
rnacentral:rRNA from 1 species